rnacentral:rRNA from 1 species
GACGAACGCUGGCGGCGUGCCUAAUACAUGCAAGUGGAACGCUGAAGAGAGGAGCUUGCUCUUCUUGGAUGAGUUGCGAACGGGUGAGUAACGCGUAGGUAACCUGCCUUGUAGCGGGGGAUAACUAUUGGAAACGAUAGCUAAUACCGCAUAACAAUGGAUGACACAUGUCAUUUAUUUGAAAGGGGCAAUUGCUCCACUACAAGAUGGACCUGCGUUGUAUUAGCUAGUAGGUGAGGUAAUGGCUCACCUAGGCGACGAUACAUAGCCGACCUGAGAGGGUGAUCGGCCACACUGGGACUGAGACACGGCCCAGACUCCUACGGGAGGCAGCAGUAGGGAAUCUUCGGCAAUGGGGGCAACCCUGACCGAGCAACGCCGCGUGAGUGAAGAAGGUUUUCGGAUCGUAAAGCUCUGUUGUAAGUCAAGAACGGGUGUGAGAGUGGAAAGUUCACACUGUGACGGUAGCUUACCAGAAAGGGACGGCUAACUACGUG